rnacentral:rRNA from 1 species
AUCCAGACUCCUACGGGAGGCAGCAGUGGGGAAUAUUGCACAAUGGGGGAAACCCUGAUGCAGCGACGCCGCGUGAGUGAAGAAGUAAUUCGUUAUGUAAAGCUCUAUCAGCAGGGAAGAAAAUGACGGUACCUGAGUAAGAAGCCCCGGCUAACUACGUGCCAGCAGCCGCGGUAAUACGUAGGGGGCGAGCGUUAUCCGGAUUUACUGGGUGUAAAGGGAGCGUAGACGGUCCUGCAAGCCAGAUGUGAAAGCCCGGGGCUCAACCCCGGGACUGCAUUUGGAACUGUAAGGCUAGAGUGUCGGAGAGGCAGGCGGAAUUCCUAGUGUAGCGGUGAAAUGCGUAGAUAUUAGGAGGAACACCAGUGGCGAAGGCGGCUUACUGGACUGUAACUGACGUUGAGGCUCGAAAGCGUGGGGAGCAAACAGGAUUAGAUACCCUCGUACC